GUUUCACAGGGUGGGGGUUUUGUUCUUUUGCCCUUUGCAGUAAAUCUUGCUGCUACUAACUCUUUGGGUCCACGCUGCCUUUGUGAGCUUUAACACUCACCACGAAGGUCUGCAGCUUCACUCCUGAAGCCAGCGAGACCACGAACCCACACUGAAGGAAGGAAACUCGGAACACAUCCGAACAUCAGAAGGAACAAACUCGACACGUUGCCUUUAAGAACUGUGACACUCACCGCGAGGGUCGGCGUCUCCAUUCUUGAAGUCAGUGAGACCAAGAACCCACCAACCAAUUCCGGACACAAUCUCAGCACUGUGGGAGACUGAGGCACCUGCCAAACCUGCACAGAUUCCUACAGCAGCCAGUUCGCUCUGUCUCGAGGCUUCAGAGGAACACGAACUUCUCUGAUGGAAGAGCCUUGUUCUAGAAGGGAGUGAAGCCUAGGUCUUUCCUGAGCACACAGAAGAUCAAGACCACACUCACUGACUUCUCAUAGUCAAGCAAUUUUGGCCAAUUAAAUGUCAGUUGGAAACUCCUGUGUCAGCUUCUCUGUGGCGGUGAGAAGUCCCUGUGUGACAUCCCAACUCUCCCCUCACCUGCGUUGGCAACCAAGAAAGCCUUGUGUUGGAGGUGGGGCCACAAGUUUAAAGCUAAGUUACCACCUCGAGGGCACAUUCCUGGAGAGCUUCCCAGGCCCACAGUGGCACGUGUAUGAGUGACAGAUCCACUUCUUUAUUACCUUUUUGAAGAACAGGAACCUUUGUCUGGAAAUUCCACAAGUAUGCCUUUUGCAAGAUUAAAAGUGCCACAAAGAACAAAAAUGAGCCCAGGACCAGAUGCAUGUUAAAAGCCAUCAGACACGUUAAGUUUCAUCUCCAUUGACCUGCAGAAGGAGUCUCUCACCACAGCCACCACAUCUAUGCAUGUGCUGAGUCACAUGUGAAGCCAGCACAUCUCAGAGUCUCACCGAAAGCUCAUGGUGAGACAAAGAGACUAGAAGGGGUAGAGUCAGCUAACUUCUCUCCUCCCACCACUGAUGAGGUUUUGGUGAAUUCUCUUCCCUUGCUCAGUAAGUCAUUAUUAUGGGGAAUGCUUCGGGUUUAUUCAAAAUGUUUUACUUUUCCUUUCUCCCUGACAGAAACAAAGGCUUUACUUGACUCUUUACUAUGAAAGCCUGGUUGGGUUCCUGAAAGUAAUACUCAUAGAAGUGUAGGGUCCCCUAUGACUGCAGCCCUCAGGAGUUUCUCAUUCUUAACAGUAAUGUAAAUGCUGCCCCCCAUAAUUUGUCAAAGUUCCUAUUUAAAUGUUCCCACCAAUUUAUGGCUCCAACUGCUGUUGCUUCAGUAAGCCACUGGCCUAGACAAGAAGCAACUCUGCACUGCUUUUCAAACAUCAUCCUCCCUCUCGACCGCAGGGACUAUUUGGUUUCUAUUCUACUUCUGGCCUUUCAUAUUCCUGAUGGUGCAUUGGAUGAAACCCCGCAGCCAGGCGUGUGAACGUGGUUGAAAAGACCCAUGGAGGACCAGCAACGCUUCCCCACAGCGUGGGAUGGUCCCCUCCUGAGAUGGCCCACUGUCAGCGGGACUGGUACAUGAGUUGUUUUCCCAGCUGAGAGGAUGGGUCAUAAGACCCACUUAUACUUUUUGUCCUGGUCUCUUUUUAACUAACUACACAAUUGUACAAUCCCUGGCCAGGGUCCAUGACUGAGGACAGAGUUUUCCUGUGUAGAUUUUUUUCUGCAGCAAACAUUUGCACUGAGCUGUAGGAAUAGACUGGGCAUGGCCACCAUUUUUCCAAUUCCAGUGGGAUUAUCCGGGCAAAAACUUCAGAAAACUUGUGGGAUUCUAGAGUAGGCCGAACAGGCUCAUGACACAUUCCCUGUCCUUACCAGACGCCAAGCACUGCAUCCUGUCUGCUUCUUGAACAGCCCCUUCAUUGUUUGUUCAGCUAUUCUGCUGCAUCUGCAGAUAGCCCUGCCUGAGAAACAGCCUCAAACCAGAAGGAGAGGAUGGCGGCAAGCCUUAGAGAAACAUCAAAAUUUGCUAUUAAGAAAAUAGUGAAGAAGUCUCAUCAGAGAGAAGUUAAAAGCAUACUAGUGGAUUCCUUGGGGCUGCAGAAAGAGUAGCAAAAAGUUGGAGAAAACAUCAACUACACCAAAGGAAUUUUAGGAGCUUGGUCCCCAGCAAAGCUCAUGGAAUCUCUCUCUGCAAGGAAGAGUCAGUUUUAAAAGCCCUCAGCCUGCUCUCAAUGGGUCCUGCCUCCUUCCCUGCCUGCACCCCAACACUGGGGAAAGGAGAAACCUCCGUUAGCAAGUUGGAGAAAAGGAGUUGAGGAAGGAAGAGGAUAGCCCGGCCCCCUCCCUGACUGCAGGUUUUUCUUUUUCUUUUUAACAGUGGAUUCUAGCGAGGGGAGGGCAAAUCCCUGAAACCUUGAAUGAAGUUGGAAGCCUUUACUAGUUUGUGUGUUUGGAAUUCUAAGUAGAAAUUGAGACUGUGUUUUGUGACUCAAAUGACUAAGAUUUUCUGUUACCUACGAGUGGCCAAAAUGUCAAGUAUUCAUCCGGGGGCAGGGUGAAAACUAGACCUACUGAGAAAGUUAAAAGACAAGGGGAAAACACAAUAAACCUGCUGUAUUUUUACCUCCAAAGUGUCCAUUCAAUUUACUGGCUGUAGUAGUUUGAAAGCAAGGUUCUGUGAUAUCAUUCCAGAGUUGAGAGUAACAAAAGCUGAUAAUUGUAAAUGCAGCACUAUCCAAUGGAAAUAUAAUGCAAAUUAUAUGCGUGACUUAACAUUUUUU
rnacentral:lncRNA from 1 species